rnacentral:rRNA from 1 species
AAUGGGUCAGCGACUUAUAUUCUGUAGCAAGGUUAACCGUAUAGGGGAGCCGAAGGGAAACCGAGUCUUAACUGGGCGUUAAGUUGCAGGGUAUAGACCCGAAACCCGGUGAUCUAGCCAUGGGCAGGUUGAAGGUUGGGUAACACUAACUGGAGGACCGAACCGACUAAUGUUGAAAAAUUAGCGGAUGACCUGUGGCUGGGGGUGAAAGGCCAAUCAAACCGGGAGAUAGCUGGUUCUCCCCGAAAGCUAUUUAGGUAGCGCCUCGUGAACUCAUCUUCGGGGGUAGAGCACUGUUUCGGCUAGGGGGCCAUCCCGGCUUACCAACCCGAUGCAAACUACGAAUACCGAAGAAUGUUAUCACGGGAGACACACGGCGGGUGCUAACGUCCGUCGUGAAGAGGGAAACAACCCAGACCGCCAGCUAAGGUCCCAAAGUCAUGGUUAAGUGGGAAACGAUGUGGGAAGGCACAGACAGCCAGGAUGUUGGCUUAGAAGCAGCCAUCAUUUAAAGAAAGCGUAAUAGCUCACUGGUCGAGUCGGCCUGCGCGGAAGAUGUAACGGGGCUAAACCAUGCACCGAAGCUGCGGCAGCGACACUAUGUGUUGUUGGGUAGGGGAGCGUUCUGUAAGCCGUUGAAGGUGUGCUGUGAGGCAUGCUGGAGGUAUCAGAAGUGCGAAUGCUGACAUAAGUAACGAUAAAGCGGGUGAAAAGCCCGCUCGCCGGAAGACCAAGGGUUCCUGUCCAACGUUAAUCGGGGCAGGGUGAGUCGACCCCUAAGGCGAGGCCGAAAGGCGUAGUCGAUGGGAAACAGGUUAAUA